AUCAUGAUUUUACCAGACGCUCGUACGAGCGAUUCCUCCUGCCCCCGCCGCUCGCACGAACCAGGAGCGAGGCCCGCUCGCACAAAAAAGCCCGGCUAGGGUUCCACCCACCGCCGCCUCCCUGCCACAGGCGCUCCCUCUCUUCGCCGAUCCACCUACGACACGCUCCUCUUCUUUGAUGCGGCCUAACCGCGUCCCGUUCGCCCGCCCGGCCACCUGUCCGUGAGGGUUUCCGCGGCACCGCCGCCGCCGGCUGCCAUUCACGCCCACGCCGACGGAAAGGCCGUUGUCAAGCCGUGGGGCGGGGGCAUCGGCGACGGGGCUGAUGCGACGGACCUCCAUGCGCCCUCCAAACCGAAUGCCCUCUUGUCCACGUCUACAUCUGUCCGUUUAUCUCCUCUGAGUCAGAGUGCCCUCCGUCAGAACUCUUUGUCAGCGUGGCGGCCGGUGGCAGCGGCCAUCUACGAUCUGUUCAUGCGUUGCCCUGAUGGAGGCGGCCGUGCUCCAUAGCAAGGCGGAAAGGGAAACCAACUUCAACUUUGCGAGGAGAAGUUCCGCAUUUGAGAAGCCGGAGAAGAGUAUCUCACUAAGUACAGAUUCGAGGUAGGGAUAUCAUUUUCUCUCCAAUCCAUUUAUCAUGGGAUCAUUUCCCAGAAAAAGACAAACAUGAAGGUAGCUGUGGACAGACUAUAUUUGUUUACUUCUUCUACCCACAAGUUUCAUGUACUGGACAACUAUAUUACACAUAUCUUGUGUUAUGAAAGAUAAUAGUUGGUGAUUGAUAUGGCAAGUGUCUACGAGCUGCCUAAUAUAGCAUGCAUUUAACAGUUCUUUCGCAUUCAUAUCUCUGCCUUCUCAUAAUUCCAUGGAUUUUUACUAUAUUGCGUAUCCCAGUGACUUUGCCAACUUGCUGACAUGGGGUCCUGUUCAGAGCACAAGCUUCACCUGAAUAACCUUCUUUCAGUUAGUAAAACACUCAGCAAAGGUAAUUGGGCCUCCCUUAAUUUAUCUACCAUCUUGCUUGGUUUGCACUGCUUUCUGUGUCUUAGAUUCAACCUCUCCAAAAAUGGGUGAAGUGUCAACCGUAUUCUGUUGAUAAUUUUAUGAGAACACGUUUGUCUAAAAUGAUUUUUAUUCCCCAUAAGAACGCACGGGCAGCUCUUAAAGCUGAAAAACUACAGCUUUCAUGUAGCAUCUUAUGUGUCGCACUUCUCUCAAAUAUGCUGAAUAGGUUGGUGCAUCUCACCACCCACAAGCACAACAAAGGACGCAUCUGCACUGAAGUGAAUAAAGAAUAUCAACUUAUUUCAUUGCUUUUGUCCACAAGAAAUGCUAUUUAUUCUACUACUAAUAUACAUGUGGUCUUCUAGAUGUGUUUGCUUUCUACAAUUGUGUGCAGGGUUUGUAAUUAUUAAAUUCAAGAUUUCUUCUUUUCAAAGUGAUAGAGCAUAUCCCUUUUUCAACCGGGCGAGAGGGAGCGAGAGAGAGAUCGUCACGUACAUAUUGUGUCCCACUCCGAUUUUGCUCACCAAUGUGUUCCUCCACGCUGCAGCAGCCGACUCCGUCGAUGUCGUGCUCGUUUACCAGCCAUGCAUUCCAGACAAGUUGAAUGCCGGUGGCAACAGACAUUCAACGGCACCCUCGUCGGCGCUCUCCUCGCAGGACCCCGCCUCCCACGCUGGACCUCCUUGCUGCCCGCACAACGCUAUUACUCCACGCACGCAUGGCCAAACUUCCUCAUAGGGGUGCGUAGGUGUGUCGUUCCUGCAGACCUAUUUUUUGGUGCUGCGUCGACAUGCUAGGCCACGCUUCAUCUUCGACUGGCUCAACCUCCACGGCACGGCGCAGCCGCGCAGGCUACAGUCCGCCCAAGCGCCGGGAUGUGCAAGGCGUUCUGGGGCGUGUGUACGCCGACUAAUGUGACUUUCUGCUUUACUCAGCGAGCAAUCCUAGGGAUUUCUUUUUUUUUUUGGAAUUCAUUAUACAUUUCUGUUUUUGAUUUAAUUUUAGGGCCUCAUGUGCAUAUAUCUGUUGCAGAUUGGUGAAGAUAAAGUUGCCGAUGUGGUGCUCACUGCUCACCUCAGAUGCAAUUCAAAAUUAUGUUGAUUUAUGUUCCUCUGUGUUACAGUUUAUUCUGGUUUUUAGAAAUACUAAUUUUUUUUAGUAAGGACAGUGACUAUUCUUAUUUUGACAAAGAGUGUGGUAGAUGAACAUGUCUUCAUUUUCUGGACCGCUCAAUAUUAUGUGAUAUUGUACUGGCAAGUAACGAGGAGAUUGUUGAUGUGCGAUUCUAGAUUCUUGAGAGAAAUACUAAUUUUUUUUAGUAAGGACAGUGACUAUUCUUAUUUUGACAAAGAGUGUGGUAGAUGAACAUGUCUUCGUUUUCUGGACCGCUCAAUAUUAUGUGAUAUUGUACUGGCAAGUAACGAGGAGAUUGUUGAUGUGCGAUUCUAGAUUCUUGAGUGAAUACUACCAUGUUAUUUUAAGGCCAGUUGUCACUUAUAAUAGAAGCUCAAUAAUGCACUUACUCUACCACCAAAUUCAAAUUAUUGAAAGAUCAAUCCAACAUUAAUUUGCCUCAAAUACAGUCUGAUGCAUUUUCCUUAACAUGACACUCUUUUUAGAGUGAUAACCUUCAUUUCAGGUUGCCGGCAUUCCAAAGAAACUUCAAGAUUGCAAGACAAUGAAAGCGUAAUUAUAUAUUUUUUGCAGUGGCAAGGUGAAAUUGUAUAAAAGAGACAAAGAAGAGUUGCUUCAUGUCCUUAAUCAUCGGUGUGCACCAACGCAGAAAAAGUGUGUGGAGACUAUGCCAGUGGAGAGACCAACGACGAUUACCUUGAGAUAGUGGGAUGUGCAUGGAAGGAGCGACUAACAAUGUAGAGGAAAGCUGCGCUCGCCGGCACCGGUCAGGGUCCUAAAUGAUUGAGGAGUAAAAUUAGAUCAUGGCCUUUCAUGUUUGAAGGGAUAUAGUAUUAUGAUAACUCUCAAAAAUCAAUAUUGUAUAAUGACAGAAGUUAAUAAUCUAAAUCAGCAGGAGCAAGCUUUGGAUGAGUGUAUAUACUAGCGACAUGUGCGGAAAGCUAAGCGGGUUAAUGGAAGAUGAGAAUGGUCGAAGGUAAUCAGAAUUCUCCGGUUAGUUAUAAGAUGCUCUUUGGGUGUCUUUCAUAUAAAUAAAAAAGUUUGAAGAUUAUUGAACAACUAAAAGUCAUUUUGUCCUUUUCAAAAAAAGUCAUUUUGUCUAUUUGAUGGUUAUAUCUCUGACAGGAGACCCCAUCUUGUCCUUAGUACCCAAUUUGUCAAUAUGUGUGCUUUAUGAUAAUUUUGUUUGUUUGUUAGUAUUAGAAAGAGUGUCACAUAGCUAGGAUACUUGUGGAGCCAUUGGUUGGUACAUACGAUUUGAGGAUUACCAGAUAACAGUCUUACUUGUCAAAAAGUUUUUACAUUAACAUUUAAUGUUCUUGAUGUAUUAUCAGAAAUGAGCAAUGUCUAAUCAUUGGGUGACAACUAAUGCACUAGCUUUGUUUUAGUUUUGUGUAACAAUGGUCUCAGCUUAGGGAGUCAGAUAUUAACAUAUAAAGCAUAACAUGAUCACAUCGCAAUUUGCAAAAUAUUCACUCUGUACGGAGGUGAAAUACCUUCUCAUUAUAUGUGAUGUUCUCCAGUCCUAAGUAUGUGCUUUGUCUGAGCUGAAGUUUAUUUCUUUACACUCAAUUGCCCUUAUUUAUUGGUUAUUAUUUUCUCGAUUCACCAACGGUGACAGCAGAGUUGCGGUGACGGUGUCAACCAUGAUGUUAUAGGGAGAUGCACUAUUGGAUGCCAUUCUAUUUGCUCCAUGUGCAAUUUGGUAAAAUUGAUUCAUGUUUUAAAUUCAAAAGUUAUGUUCUUUCAUGUUGUAAACUGCAUCCUAUAGUUAUUCAUGCAUUUUUGUCUACGCGAUGCCACGUAUAAAAUGCAUUGUCAAUGUUUAGACGAUGGUGGUAUAAGAAGAAAAUAAACUGCUGUUUUUUAUCCUCGACAAGAUAUUUUGGGUCCUCUUUCUGUGCUAGCAUCUUUUCUUUUGGAAUGGGAUAGUUAAUGGUGCUCUUAUAAAAAAUUUGUUGUCUCCCUUCAUUCCGAAAUAUAAGCCCUUUUAGAGAUUUCAAUAAGGACUACAUACGGAUGUAUAAGCUUCGUAUGUAGUCCAUAUUGGAAUCUCUAGAAAGGCUUAUAUUUAGGAACGGAGGGAGUACAAGAAAAACAACUGCGGCCACCUUUUUUUAGUUACUCUAUUCCAAGGUUGGUACUAGAAGAUUUCAGAAGGAAAAUGAAUGCAAAACAAACUAUGGAGAAAGUAAUAUGUGCAAUAUACCAAACUGGAGGAAGAAGUACAAAUCAAGAUAAGAACAUUACAUCAGUGGUGGUUUGAAAGAGGCAAAAGCGGGGAGGAAGAAGGAGAAGAGAAUUACUGGAAAAAAACAAAAUGGAAAUGACCUGAAGGAGGAACUUUGAAGGUAAACUGUGAUGGGCUUUCUUUUCUGGAAAUAGUAAUGGUGGCUAGGGAUCUAUCAUUAGAGACGAUGAAAGAGAUGAUAUCGCAUGUACGAUGGGUAAAACUCUGAAUAUACUACGUCACUUGCAUGUUGAGAUUGUGUCGGCUCACAAAUGAGCACAAUUAGUUGUGACUGCUAAGUAAAGUUGAGGUAUAAGCAAUAUUAGUUUUGAGACUGGCGGGUGUGGAACAUGAAGGGAAAGAUCUCUCUUGAGGUCUGCAUUUCUAUGCUGGAUGUGAAGGAGUUUCUCUACUAAAACUUACAGUUUUAAAACUUGUGUACUCCAGUAGAGAUUGUAAUAAAGUAGCACAUUCCCUAACCGCCCUGGGUUGUAGUUUAAAUAUAGAAGCAAGCGUUGUAAUGGACCAUGAUGUAUCUGUUGUAACUGAACAA